rnacentral:ncRNA from 1 species
AUGAGAUCUCCCUGGAUCGCAAGAUCCCUAAAGGCUCCUGGAAGAUGACCAGGUACAUAGGUCGGGUGUGGAAGCGUGGCGACACGUUCAGCUUACCGAUACUAAUCAGCCGUGAGGCUUGACCAU